rnacentral:rRNA from 1 species
CACCGCGGUUAUACGAGAGGCUCAAAUUGAUAUUCUACGGCGUAAAGCGUGAUUAGAGAAAAUUAACACUAAAGCCGAACAUCCCCUUAACUGUUAUACGUUAAAAGAGAUAAGAAGCCCCACAACGAAAGUAGCUUUAACCAAAAAUCUUGAAUUCACGAAAAUUAAGAAA